AGUGAACGCUGGCGGUAGGCCUAACACAUGCAAGUCGAACGGUAGCACAGUAAGAGCUUGCUCUUACGGGUGGCGAGUGGCGGACGGCUGAGGAAUACAUCGGAAUCUACUUUUUCGUGGGGGAUAACGUAGGGAAACUUACGCUAAUACCGCAUACGACCUACGGGUGAAAGCAGGGGAUCUUCGGACCUUGCGCGAUUGAAUGAGCCGAUGUCGGAUUAGCUAGUUGGCGGGGUAAAGGCCCACCAAGGCGACGAUCCGUAGCUGGUCUGAGAGGAUGAUCAGCCACACUGGAACUGAGACACGGUCCAGACUCCUACGGGAGGCAGCAGUGGGGAAUAUUGGACAAUGGGCGCAAGCCUGAUCCAGCCAUACCGCGUGGGUGAAGAAGGCCUUCGGGUUGUAAAGCCCUUUUGUUGGGAAAGAAAAGCAGCAGGUUAAUACCCCGCUGUUCUGACGGUACCCAAAGAAUAAGCACCGGCUAACUUCGUG
rnacentral:rRNA from 1 species